rnacentral:rRNA from 1 species
AGGCCGCGGGGUGGGAGACAGUGUCAGGCAGGCAGUUUGACUGGGGCGGUCGCCUCCUAAAAGGGAACGGAGGCGCCCAAAGGUUCCCUCAGAAUGGUUGGAAAUCAUUCGCAGAGUGUAAAGGCACAAGGGAGCUUGACUGCGAGACCUACAAGUCGAGCAGGGACGAAAGCUG